GCCCGCGGGAGGGGGCGGCACGGCCGGGAGCCGCGUGAGGAGGAGGUGGAGAAGGAGGAGGUGGUGGAGGAGGAAGUUUAUUGCCGAAGGGGGAGCGGGGGGCAGCCCGGCGCCGUGUGAGCCCGCCGGGACUCAUGUGUCUGGGCUGCCGGAGGAGGCCGGCGGGUCGAGCGUGCUGUGGUACCGCGCUCUCUUUGCCCCGCGCGGAGCCCACGUCCCAGGGCUGUGGGCAUCGCCGCCGGCCCCGUGCGUCCAGCUGCUGCCGGGCCGGCGGGCUGCGAGUGCAUCCUGCCCCACAGCCAUGUAAAUGUUCCUCUAUACGAACGUUCAUUGUUGCCUUCUACAUUCCUCUGCUGACAGUGAAGAGGUCAUGCUAAAUCAAACUGACGGAGAAACUGGACAUCAGCUUAGCCAGGAUGCCCAAAUUAAUACUACUGAAACAAAAGUGCAUUUCUAACGUCACCAGUGGUUUAAGUGGACACACAUCAAAUGCAAACAGAAUGGACAGGAGAGAAUCGAAUCAUCACUUGAAUGAAGACAGUCUGUGAGCAGUGGAACUCAUAAAAGGUGCAUAAGAACCAAGUUGGAGAAAAACUGGCUUUGGAAACACUAGCAGAGAGAAGUGCAAGACUUGGAAGCCUUUGUGGGAGAGAAGACAGGAAUGCCACUCGCUGCAUUUCUCGGCUUAACUUGGCUGGCCGAAUGCGUAACUUGCUGAAGAAAGGUGACAGUUACAGACAGGCUGUCUCUUUCCAUGCCCACUGAUGGGAGAUAUCACACCAGACUGCCAAACUGAGAUAUCCGAAGUUCACCUCUAUUCGGUGGUGCAGAAACCACAGCAAUCAAACAGGGGCUUGUAUCACAGACCAGGUAGAUUUAAAGAGAACAAAAAGACUUCACGAAUUCAUUGUGAGUUGAAUCUAAUAUUUGUAUUCAAGACCUGUAAGAUAAAACAGCCCCAGGAAGUCACUUAGAACUGACCAGAUUUUCUAAGACUUUUCGUUGAAGAAAAACACCUUUAAACCAUUUAAAGUCAUGAUAGAAAGUCAGCUUGCAAGUAUCCAAAACACUGGAGACCAUCAUAUGCUAAUCUAAGCUUAACAAAACACAUAGUAUUACCAAGUGCAAUUGUACAGUCCAGCUAUUAGUAGCUUUACCUCUGGCUGUUCUCCAUCCUGCUUUUGAGCUACAUCCUCUCCUUUCAUCUUAUUCUACACCACAUGAAACAGGUGAGCUGUUCCCUUUAUAUAGCUCAGGGCUCUGCUCACAUGACUCUCAAAGCUUGGUAUCUUCAUUUAAUCAGUUAAAAGCAUCGAAAUAAUCAGAGAUCUUUCAUGAGCUCCAUACCAGAAUCUAAUUCUGUUAAGCAUUCAAAGCUUACCAAGUUCAAAAAAUGAAGAAAAAAUUAAUUAAUUUUUCCUAGGAACAUCUACUUUGAAAACCUGCCUUGGGGGGUACACUUGUAGUUUACAGGAAUAUCUCUCACAAAUCACCCGUGCUUUUUAUUGUCAAGGCAACACUGUGGCUUCUGCAUCCCAUUUGUUCAUGCAUAGAUAGUAACAGCAUCCACUUUUUAUCUGAUUCCAUUUGAAUUAUUAUCUUGACUUAACUGCCACUGAUUUUUUAUACGAAAGAACAAGUGGUUUAGGGUUAUCUUUCCUGGUAACAACUUUUGACAGCAUAGAAAUGGUGAUACUUUCCCAUAAGUCUGUAUUUGGUACCUUAGCACUGGAUGACAGUGCCAAUAAGUUAAACUGAACAGAGCAGUGAUUUUCAGUUUUGGGAUCUCUGAAAGCGUGGGUGGGACUAGUGAAUUAUUUUAAGGGGUCUGUGAAAGGUAACUCAGAUAAGGCGGACUCAUGACAAUAGGCUUAAAUUUGCUUGAAGGGAUCCUGAAGUGUCCUGGAAAAUGCUGUGUGGUCUGCAGACUGGAAAAGAUUAAAGCCCUGGGGCUAUACAUACUAUCUGCUCUGAUUUAGGAGCUUGCUGAUCCGUGGUCAUGCAUGUUAUCAGUUGUGCCAUUCUUUUUCCAGCAGAAGAUUAACCUCACAUUCCCGCAUACGGGUAUCUCCCAGACCUCCUCCCACUGAGACCAUCUAUCUGACCUCCGAGAGCUCAGAUACUGCCAUGCUGGCAUCCAACAUUUCUGUUUCUUCCCAUGCUUUUCUUCACGUCGUCAACUGACCUGAAAGCUGCUUGUGUGUGUGUGCAUGUCAUGACACAUGGCAAGUUCCAGGAUUAGACCUCUGAGAAGUUGCGACAGCACCUCACAUGUGAGACAAAUAUUUCCUCAGUGUCUGUUGCUUUCCACCCUUUUCCUUCAUUCCUCUGCAUUCACUGUGGAGGCUGUCAGGGAGUGUGUUAGCUGAUUUGUUUGCUAACUUGUUAUAGGAUUUGGCUGGAGAACUGUUGUGGGGAAUUGUGUGGAUAUGAGUCCUCUCUGUUCUCCUAGCUCAGAUUAGGAAAUAUGGCAAGAUCACAGAAGAGUUGGCAAAUUUCUUUGUUAAGAAGCAGACAGAUUUCAUAUGGGUCAUCACAGGAAUUCCAACCUUAACGCUACCACCAACAACAAUCUUACAAGAGCUGUGAACUAUUUGGCAGAAAACUGGCAGUUUCAUAACCAAAAUCCAGUUUUGCAGGGAAGGCUCAACUUAUGCCCUUUUUUUCUGAUACUGUUUUGCUGUUGUGAGAAGCAAUGCAUAUGGAAGUCCAUUAGAGCCUAAGGCUAUUGUUGAUGUCGUCUUGACUCAUUCUUGGCACUCCCUCAUCUUCCUUCGAUAGCUCAGCUGGUAGAGCGGAGGACUGUAGGCUGACUGUAGAAAGAAAUCCUUAGGUCGCUGGUUCAAUUCCGGCUCGAAGGAAAGGUUUUGGAGGCGGUCAUCAUUUUUUUUAAUGAUUUUUGUCUUUCACUUACUUCUGGAAUUUACAGCUUGGCAAAACUGCCCUUUCCAGCCGUACUCCACUCUAGGCACCGUGAGAGAGUUGCUUUACUUCGUUCCUCUACCACUUUCAAGGAUUUUGUUUCCUACUUUCUGAUUCUUACAGCAAUGGCACUUUGACCUUUGCCAUGUCACUGCACAUUGUAUGGGAUUCUCUUCUUCCGGGGCUCAACACCUUCUACAGACCCUUGUUAGCUAGAGCAGACCUGCAGCAUGGAGCUGGCAGAGCCUCUUUUAGCUGAACUGAGUGUGAGAGACUAGAAGAGGUCCAGUUACUUUGCUUUGAGUGGUAGGGAAUAAAAGAGAUGGGGGAAAAAUGUUUUCAUGAUGACAGGAACUCCACAAUCCUUCAGGUCCAGGUAUUUGUCUGUGACAGUCACUACAUGCGGCUGUUAUCAAUAACCUCAUGAGAGUUUUGUGAAUAUCACUGUGUGUGCUGUGUGAAGGUUUAUCAUUACUAUGCAGGGCUCAUUUCAAUAAAGAGUUGUAAAGUUUAUGUCUGUUUGUGAAGGAAAUGGAUAAAAAAGAUGCGUAUGAAGGAAUACCAUGGGCAAGGUUAUUGAGGUGAGGUUGUAUUCUAAGGACUCAUACAUGCAGAAGCCAAAAUGAGAAACUUUGUGAGACUAAAGAACAAGGCCCUGAGAAUCUGUAAAAGAAAAUUUUAUCACAGAAAACUGACUGACAGAACUCACUUUCACAAGACACAAUCAACUCCUAGAGGUCUGUAAGAAGCUUUAUUAAAUAUACGAUUGGACAUCUUCAGAUAUUUGCAUUAGAUGAGAUGACAUUAGGGAUCGAAAUUUGCUCAUGCAAAGCUACUCAUGCAAAGCAUCUCCUCAUGCAAAGCACAGUGCUAAGCCAAACAAAGACAGGAAACGGAGAUGGCAUCUUUGCUUACCUUUCAUUGUAUUUUAAAUAUACUUAGGAUUUUUAAUAAAAAACUAUUUGCUAGAAGUUGGGUCAAAUCCAUCAAGGAACUGGUACUAAGCUAGAAUGAAUAAUCAGGCGAUGUAAUUCCAGUAUUUUAUGUUUCAUUUUAAUUUUUUUUACUAAUUAAAGUUGGAUCAAUGACCAUUGAUCAUAGUAGAACAUCAGAUUUCUUUGUCCUUCCAAAUUCAGCUGCAUUAAUUCCUCUUCAGCCUGCAUAGCGAUACACACUUAUAACCUCAUAACCAUAAUGAGUUUUCAGCAUAGGGAGGCACAGGACAUGAGGGAGGCAGGUUUGUCUCUCCGAACAGCACAACAGGCUCUUCAGGCCUUGUGGGACAGGCCAAACAUUUAUUGCUCCAUAGGAUGAGGUUGUGAAGGCAGACUGGGAAGGGAAGCAGCUUCCUUGCAGCCCUGCUAAUGCUGCCAGGGAGGAGGCUGCACAGCAGCAGCAUCUCAGGUGGGAAUCUGGCAGUCCCAACAGACACGGAGGACGAGGAGAGGGGUAUGAGCCUGAGUGACACCACAGGAGGAACUUGGGCGCACUUGCUCCUGAGCUGGGGCAGAUUUCCUCCUCACAACGUGCCAUUUAUGGUCCUGGUGAGCAAUAACACAAAGCAGGAGCCUUUCCAAAUGAGUGAGUACUUGACUCAUGCACUUAAUUGCUGCAGUAUGCGUGAUGCUUUUGAUUCAAAAUCUGCCAAUAAUCAUGAAAAGUAAAUCCCUGUAUGCCAAAUUUUGUGCUCAUAUCAGAGAAGGGCUGAUAUGUUCCCUGAAAUUGGGAAACAGAGGCGACUGGUGGAAGGACAGACUGUCUCAUAGGUGUUUUGUUUAUGAGCACAUACUUGCUCACUGAAUAUUUCGCACUGGUUGCACAAGAUGUGAUUAAAAUGAGUAGAGGGAGAAAAGUUUAAUUAAAAGUAUGUUCUCAUCACAAGGCAUGUUCUUCCUCUAGUUAAAAGAAUGAGCUGUUAUGGCAUGGAGAAUGCUGUCUGAUGCAGUUAGCCUCUGUUAUACCAUGUUUGCUGUCAUCCUGUUGCCACUACCAGAACUGCUCCUUGCUGACACAGUGAUGAUGCUGGAGACUGUUUCUUUUUCUGCAAUCACAUCCACACAAGAUAAUUUCAUUUUUAAAAACAUGCCAUAAAUGUGGCCAUCAAGCCAGAAAUAUGGAUUUAAAUAGAGUUCUUCUGUUUUUUCUUGCGCAUUCAAAUUAAAUUUCAGAUAGCAAAGAUAGGCAUACUUAAAAAUUAUGCUGUCUUAGGAGCGUCAGCUUUCUUUUGCAUCCUGAAUAAGCUUCCUCCCACAGCCAGACUUCUUUGGUUCAUCGGACAUUGUGGUCCCCCUCCACCCCCUUUUUUUUUUGUCUGAGGAGUGGCAUCCAUAGACCAAAUCUCUGAAACAAAGAGGUGACCACUGGGGACCCACUGAAUUGCCAGUGGUAAGCUCCUGUUAGACAAGUGAAUGUUUGUCAUCAGUGGGAUAUUCCUUCCUUUUUUGAGAAAACUUUCUUCUUUCUGUCUCACCUCUUGUUCCCAGAUAAACUUUGAACCUGUCCCCUAACUUAGAAACAGCACCCUGUGUGGUGAAGAAAUUGAAGUACCUACAGCCAGCUUGAACAUAUGGCAAACUGUCUGUGCUUUCACUUCUCCUAGUUCUCAUCUGUGCUUGCUUUGAAUGACCUUGGAUAUCCAGAGCUUUGUUUUGAUUUUCCAAUACAAAAGAGUCCCAGCCUGGUUCCAGACACCUGAUUUCACCUUGUUCCAUCAAAGCCAUAUUGCCAGGAACUGUUCUUCUGACACAGCAUGAAAUGGCUGAGUAAUGCAGGGCCUGCCUAAGGAAAUGUGGUUAACCUUAAAGAAACCCUGUAGAAAAGCUGGGCAGUCUCCAGUGUUUGAGUGAUGUGAGCUGCGUGUUCUGGCAUCAGGUUUCAGCCCACAGAUGCAGUGCUGUGGUGACAGGACCAAAGACCUAGGUUAGAAUCACAGAAUCAUAGAAUCAUUAAGGUUGUAAAAGACCACCAAGACCAUCCAGUCCAACCUCCAGUGCACCUCACCAUAGCCACUAACCGUGUCCCUCACUGCCACAUCUACACGCUUC